GAAAUGCGAUAAGUAAUGUGAAUUGCAGAAUUCAGUGAAUCAUCGAAUCUUUGAACGCACAUUGCGCCCGCCGGCACUCCGGCGGGCAUGCCUGUCCGAGCGUCAUUUCAACCCUCGGGCCCACCCCUCGCGGGGAACGGGCCCGGCGUUGGGGACCGGAGGCCGCCCCGGCGGCACCCGCCCCCUAAAUUCAGUGGCGGUCGCGCCGCAGCCUCCCCUGCGUAGUAGCACACCUCGCACCGGAGAGCGGCUUGGCCACGCCUCGAAACCCCCCAAUUUUUCAGGUUGACCUCGGAUCAGGUAGGAAUACCCGCUGAACUUAA
rnacentral:misc_RNA from 1 species